rnacentral:rRNA from 1 species
UACGUAGGGUCCAAGCGUUAAUCGGAAUUACUGGGCGUAAAGCGUGCGCAGGCGGUUUUGUAAGCCAGAUGUGAAAUCCCCGGGCUUAACCUGGGAAUGGCAUUUGGGACUGCAAGGCUAGAGUACGGCAGAGGAGACUAGAAUUCCUGGUGUAGCAGUGAAAUGCGUAGAUAUCAGGAGGAAUACCGAUGGCGAAGGCAGCCUCCUGGGCCAAUACUGACGCUCAUGCACGAAAGCGUGGGGAGCAAACAGG